UACUCGAGCGGCGAACGGGUGAGUAACACGUGGGUGAUCUGCCCUUCACUUCGGGAUAAGCCUGGGAAACUGGGUCUAAUACUGGAUAGGACCAUCGUUUAGUGUCGGUGGUGGAAAGUUUUUUCGGUGGAGGAUGAGCUCGCGGCCUAUCAGCUUGUUGGUGGGGUAAUGGCCUACCAAGGCGACGACGGGUAGCCGGCCUGAGAGGGUGGACGGCCACAUUGGGACUGAGACACGGCCCAG
rnacentral:rRNA from 1 species